GAUGAACGCUGGCGGCGUGCCUAAUACAUGCAAGUCGAGCGAACAGACGAGGAGCUUGCUCCUCUGACGUUAGCGGCGGACGGGUGAGUAACACGUGGAUAACCUACCUAUAAGACUGGGAUAACUUCGGGAAACCGGAGCUAAUACCGGAUAAUAUAUUGAACCGCAUGGUUCAAUAGUGAAAGACGGUUUUGCUGUCACUUAUAGAUGGAUCCGCGCCGCAUUAGCUAGUUGGUAAGGUAACGGCUUACCAAGGCAACGAUGCGUAGCCGACCUGAGAGGGUGAUCGCCCACACUGGAACUGAGACACGGUCCAGACUCCUGCGGGAGGCAGCAGUAGGGAAUCUUCCGCAAUGGGCGAAAGCCUGACGGAGCAACGCCGCGUGAGUGAUGAAGGUCUUCGGAUCGUAAAACUCUGUUAUUAGGGAAGAACAAAUGUGUAAGUAACUAUGCACGUCUUGACGGUAACUAAUCAGAAAGCCACGGCUAACUACGUG
rnacentral:rRNA from 1 species